rnacentral:lncRNA from 1 species
UGGCAUAUGGAAUUUCCAGGCUAGGGGUUGAAUCAGAGCUGCAGCUGCCAGCCUGCACACCACAGCCAUAGCACAAUGCCAGAUCCGAUCCUCGUCUUCGACCUACACCACAGAUCACGGCAACGCUGGACCCUUAACCCACGGAGCGAAGCCAGGGAUUGAACCCACUUCCUCAUGGAUACUAGUCUGGUUCAUUUCUACUGAGUCACAGCGGGAACUCCAACAACUCAGAAAAUGUUAAUGUGAUUUUGUUAGUGAGGUAUCACACUAGACUGAUUUUAAUUUGUUAUCUUAUAGACUUUAUGUCUGAAUUUAUUUUAUUUUUUUGGCCAUGCCCACAGCAUGCAGUAGUUCAUGGGGCAGGGAUCGAACCCAUUCUACUGCAGUAACCAGAGCUCUGCAGUGACAAUGCUGGAUCCUUAAUCCGCUGAGCCACAAGGUAACUCCUUUAUAUUUUUUGAAAUAAAUUUUAUUGGAGUAUAGGUGACCCACAAUGCUGUGUUAGUUUCAGGUGUACACCAAAGCAAAUCAGCCACACCCAUAUGUAUAUAUCCAUUCCUUUUCAGAUUCUUUCCCCAUAUAGGCCAUCACAGAGCACUGAAUGGAUUUCCCCAAGCUAUACAGCAGGUCCCUGUUACCAAUCGAUUUUGUAUAUAGUUGUGUGUACAUGCCAAUCCCAGCCUCCCAAUGCAUCCCUCCACCCAGCAUUUCCUCUUGCAUAACCAUAAGUCUGGUCUUGAAAUCGCUGAGACUGUUUCUGUCCUGCGAAUAAGUCUCUUUGUGUCUUUUUUUAUUAGACUCCACACAUGAGUGAUCUCACAUAAUACCCGUCUUUCUCUGUCUGACUUACUUCACCCAAGACGACUAUCUCUAGGUCCAUCCAUGUUGCUGCAGAUGGCACUAUUUCACUCCUUUUUAUGGCUUAUUGGAUUUAUUUUUACCCUAGAGUUUGCUGAAACUUUGCUGUGAAAAAUGGACUCAGAUGUCUCGGGCAUACAAAGUGGUGGUUGGAAAGGCACCGAUUUAACUAGGCAGGACUGUGCUCCGUCAUUAUAAAGUUGGAACGUAUUCCUGAAGUGCCUUCUCUUAAUCCUUGGCAUUUUUGUCCUUCAGCUAGACACAGCUACAGGGCAGGCAGCUCAAUUUCGAGAGAUUAGACUGCAAGCCUGGGUAGAGAGUGCUCUCCCAGUUUGCAGGGUCUGUGGAAAGAGCUCCGCCUCAUGCUAGAUGCCCAAGGGUAUGGGGGCUCUUUGUAAAACAAAGCAGGAAACAAGCAUUUCUGAAGAAGCAAACAAACAUUCUGUUUCAAAUUCAGAACUAAAAAAGGAAAUUUGUUUAUUGAGGGUAAGAGGAUGCAAGCAAUAUAAAAAUCAAAAGCUUAUCUGGGCUUAAUUGACUUGUCUUUCUCUGCUUCUCAAAGCAGAGUUGGGUUUUAUUUGUACACUUUCUAAGGGUCCCAGUCUGCUCAGGAAAUCCUUAUACAGGGAGAAGCUGGGGGGGCAGAUUCCUUAAGCGACCCUUUGUGAGAAUUCUUAUCAGGGCGGCAUGAUUGCUCAGUGCUGCCUACUUCUUUCCCUUCUGCUUCAUGUGUACAACAAAAUAGUCAUUGCAUGCGAUGGUGAGCCCAGCGAUUAGCGAAAAGAAGCUCUGGAAGCCCACUUUCCCAUCUCGGCACUGGUCCAGGUCCUUCAUUAUUUUGUCCACAGCCAGAGGGUCUUUUUGAUUCUGAAAAAAAAAAAAAAAGAACAGAGGCAAGUAGUAUCAAUCAGUGGUUGCAACAAUGAGCUUCUUGUGAUGUGUAUGGCUGACAACUAUAUAUAAAAUCUAAUGAUUUGAAAUCUUGCUUUAGGUCAUAAGUGAUUUUUGGAGGUCAUCUAAAUGUAUGUUUUCCCUUUGAGGGAGCAUUUCUGUAAAUUCAUAUUUAUUUCAGGCUAGGAGAGAGGGUUUCAUGGCUUUCUUUUAAAUAACUCAGGGACUUUAGAAACAGCAUAUUUCUAGAAAGAGGAGGUUCAAUGCCAGAGAAGGGAGACCCCCCCCCAACUUUGAAUUCUCAGUCCUCUUAGAAUCCAGCAUAGUCUUCUGAUUUGCUUUCCUUAUAGUCCAAUUGUUAAUACAGUUUUCAAAAUAAUAAGAUUCUGCCUAAGCAGUACUCCAAACUCCCUAUUUUGUAGUUUAAAGUCUCUUAACAAACUUUUAUUUCCAAUAGCAUGAUCAAGUCCUUGACAAAGAAAACUCCUUAUAAAAGACCUCAUGUGAUUAUUUAGAGAGUUAAGUUUUAGAUCAUUGUUCUGUGGGUUUUAAAGAGGCGCUUGUGAUACCAUGGGGCGUGUUAGGUUUAAAGAGGGUAGGCAGAUGGUCGUCAUUUCUUGGCACAUCUGAGGCCAACCUAGUGUGGCUUCACAUCACAUUAGCCAGGUGACCUUAAGUAAGUCACAUGGCUUUGGUGGGCCUUUGUAUAACAGCUAAGAAUUGAAGUAGGACCAGAGUGUCUCUAAGAUUGCUUCUAUUCUUAAUGCGUUGGCCCGUCUAUGCCAUCCUGUACUCUUUGCUGGAUGUUUUUACAUUGAAUGUACUUCAAAAGCAAUAUAUGUAAUGGAAUCCUAAACUCCCCAUGACUCUUAAUGCCAGUGCAUGGAACUGGGAUGGACAGGCAAGAUCCCCUUUGUUUUUUCUUUUAUCCUGCUUUCAUUGUGAUUGACUUGAUCGCUCCUUUCUGUAGUGAUGGUGCUUAGAAGUGGGAAAGGGUGGUUUCUCCUGCAGGGUCCAUGCCGUCAACCAGAAGGAGAUAUGGCCCUUUACCGGUGUUAAAGGGCUCAGGUAAAGUAUUUAUGAAUUCCACGGACUCGUAUAUGUGAGGGAGGGAACAGACACUCAGUGUCUCCAGUGUGCUGGAUGUUUAUAAACUGCACUCAGAAAUCCCUUAAGGUGAAGCAGCAGCAUUUCCCACAUGCCCUAAGAAAUCAACUCCAACCUGUCUGUACAGCUGCCUCUGCUUUUGGUGGGUUUCAGUUAAUUCUGGCCUCGACCCCAGUUUCCUGGCUGAGAUCAGAAGGAGUGAAAUCUGGAUGACAUAAUGCUCUGUCAGUGCAGCGAGUGUGGGUGUGCCUGGAAUUAUGACCCCAUCCUUGAAUAAAUUAAACUGCCAUGUUUAGUACUCGUUGCUGAACACUUGAAUUUAUCAAGCCACAGAGCCUUUAGGAGGAAGGGUCUUUGUCUCAUGUGAUGGUCAUCCUGGCUUCUAACUCCUGAGUAUUUAGGAAUAGACCCAGAGUGCCUUUGUUUGUGUGGUGGGAAGCUUUACAAUAAGCACAUUUUGUCCUUGAAUUUUAUGCCUGCCUGGAAGGGUCACAGAACAUGAAAGUGAUCUUGGAGGUAAUCACGUCCAGCCCUCUCAUUUUACAGAGGAGGGAACUGAGGCCCAGAAAACUGAAGCAACCUGCCUGGUAUUAGUUCGGGCAGAGCCAGAUCAUCUAAUUCCUGGUCUGGGGCUAUAUCACAGAACUCAACAAAAGCAGAGCAACAGUAUCCUCGAACUCAUUCUGGGAGAGCAUUGUGGUAACUGCAGCUCUGAGAAGCUAGUUAAGCUAUUUAUAUCUGUUUGACUGGUACUGAUGACAUGCGAAUCAUUAUGUACUACAAAACCCUAUGUUUACUGAGUCAGGAGUCAGAGGCUUGACUAAUGCCAUUUACCAGGCAGAUGACAAGAGAAAGGACCCUGCCUUUAACCAUCACCUCCCUCCACCCUUUAGAGGUAAUGCAAUAUUCCACACCAAGCACAGUGAUGCUUCAAGCACCUCUGACUGUGGCAGCGAGAGAAGGGCUUGCAUUUCAAUCUACUAUUUUGUUAGGCAAUGUUUCACUUUCAGUGAAAUGCAGUAACCAUCUCUCCAGGGCCUGCAGUAUAAAAGAACUACUGUGCUUUGUGGCCUGAUGUCCUGAAUGAUGUAUCUGAGCUGAUGGGAGAUCCUCUUCCUUCACUGAUCCCUCUCAGGCUGUCAAAGGUGAGGCAUAAACCCAAACUGUUCUCCUAUGUUCACACAGCCUUUUCAGUGGGAAAAGCAGUUAUUUCUUGAGCAAUGCCUGGCUCUCAUUUAGUAAAUUUCACACCAUUCCCUUAUAGUAGAGCUCGAAAAAAGAAUUUUAAAGCCUUUAUCUGAAGGGAUUUAAGAAAGGAGAUUCAAGCUGCUCAAAGGACAGCCUGAGGACAGCCAGGCACCCUGGUUGAUUACUCCCUGGUGCAAGGCCUUUUUUCCUGCAACUCUGUCUCUAUGGAGGCAGAUGACUCCAGAUAGAGUCGCUCUAACACCUCAAACUGUGGUGAUUUGUGUGUAGUCUCAUUUCACCUCCAAACUGAAAGCUCCUUGAGGGCAGAGGCAGUGUCUUCUUUACUUUCUGUUUCCAACCCCACUGUCUUACAAACAGUAGGCACUCAGUAUAUUUAAUCAAUAAAUGAAUGAAAACACCUUUCUAGCACUGACUUCCCCCGGGAAGGGCUGGAAAGAGGAAGGGACAGGAACCAGGGCCCAGAAGCACUGAUUUCUAUCUCUGGUUCUCUCUGAGCCUUUCAAUACUUACUUCCAAAAAUCCCGGGAACUCCUUUUCCAUGAGUACUCUCAGGUCCUCCUUUGUUAGGUAGCCUUUAUCCCCAGCAAAUUUGUGAAAUGUGAACAUCAUGGUUUCCAUGGCAUGUUCCAUUUGAGACGGCAUUUUCGUGAGGUCUGUUGAAACCUAUUAAAGGAUGUGAAGCGACAGAAUUUACAUUUUUUCCCCCUUUUUUGGCUGCCCUGUGGUAUAUGGAGUUCCCAGGCCAGGGAUCAGAUCUGAGCUAUAGCUGCCACCUAAGCCACAACUGAGGCAACACCAGAUCCUUAACCUACUGUGCCAAGCCCAGGAACGAACCUACAUCCCAGAGCUCCCAAGAUGCAGCUUAUCCCAUUGCACCACAGCGGGAACUCCUACAUUAACUUUUAAACCACAUGAUUUACCAGUCUUUUGAGAAUGAUUGGAAGAGGGCAAUUUGCUCAUCCAGUCCAUCCUUUUUAACUGUAAAAUUCAAUGAAUACAUCAGGACCAGUUCAUCCCAGGUUUGGGGUCUCCUGCUGAUGGAAAUAGGCACUUUAGGUACUGCUGCUCUGAAGGAGGGAUUGAUCUAGUUGCCUGUUAACUGCACAAAUCACCCAAUGAAGAAUAAAAAUUCUAACCAUUUGGAAAAGCAAGAUCAGUGCCCCUCUUUUUAACUGACAAAGCUCCUACUGAGAGAUGUUUCAUCAUUUCUCUUGGCACCGGUAAAUGGGACUCAGAUAUAGCUGAAUACCAACAACUCGCACAGUCAAGCUUGGUUAAUACGAAAACUUCAAUUCUCCAAAAGCUGAAUUAAGUAACUUGGUUUAGUUUAAGUCUAUGCUUAAGAAAUCUGCUUACAAAUGACUUUCAUAUGCUGAGUAUGUAUUCUUUACUAAAAGUUCUGAACUUGCUAUAGAUUCUAACAAACAUCUGCAUCUUUGGUAGUAAGUUGCAGUUGCCCUCCUCAAAUAAAGCUACCCAAAGCCCAUUAUCUACUUUCUUGAAAAAGAACAGGUAAUAGUAUAUCCAUCCUAAUUCCUUUGGGGAUCUGAUAUAUCCUUGGCAGCACUAGACAAAAGACCUACUCUCACCGUCUGGGGUGCAGUGGGAGAGCAAGAGCUUUUCAUUGUGAAUAGUUAAAGAAAGGAGUUCUUUUGUGGUGCAGUGGGUUAAGGAUCUGGCAUUGCCACUACUGCAGUUUGGGUUUGAUCCCUGGCCUGGGGGCUUCCAUAUGCCAGGGAUGCGGCCUAAAUAAAUAAAUUAAUUAAAUAAAAAGAUAAAGGAGAUGUCAGAUUGUUAUAUUCAGGUAUAAUAAUCUGAGGACAUGUGUCUAAUCAAGACAUACACUUGGUACCCAACAGGAGCCCACUGAAUUUUGCUUAAUUGGAAGGCAGGCUUUGGCCAGAACAGAGUAGCUUUAGUUAACAGCACCUAAAAUCACUCCUGGAUAAGAAACAGAUGAACUUGAAUAGAGACUGUAAUAUAUACCGUGGGAAAAAAAAAAGAUAAGAAUAGGUUUUGAACAGAGGUUGAAGGAAAGUCUGGCAUCUUCCCCUGAAGGGUUGAUACAGGAACCAGAGACGUGGUUUCAGCCUGGUUUCUGCUGCUGACAUAUGCGUGUGUAACAUAUCCCUGAAUACUAUCUUUUAUGGGGGAAGAGGGUGGAGUUGGUGAACACAAGGAUUGAGCAAGUACAUGUCAAAAGUUCUACCCCUUAAUCCCCAGAAAAGUACAGGAAUCAGCAUGCCAAAGAAUGUGCUACUCUAGAGAAUGUUAUAAACCAGAAUCUGGCAUGAUUCAUCUGGAAGGCAGGUCUCUUGGAGAGAGCAAAAAAUUCAAGGUCCACUGUGGGAUGAAUUCCAGGGGAACCACACCUUUUCUCCUUUCUUCUGACACAGUCAGGAUCUGGCUUCAGAUGGCAGUGGGCUUCAGAUGGCAGUGGCC